rnacentral:sRNA from 1 species
AACCAGGAUUGCCCCCGACAGGUCACUCAGCUCUACGUGCCAGCAUCCAGACAUGUGUGGAGGUUCCGGCGGAUGGGGAGGAUAGGCCCGCUGCAGUCCACCCUGGACGGUGAGUUCUCUAGGACACAGGGUUACUGAGGUAUGAAUUACACGCUGUCAAAUUCACUCCUUUAAUCUACAGAUCUGUUAUUUUUCAUAAACUUAUACAGCCAUGUCACUCCCAGCAGGAGCUACCAUGUAGAAAAGUUUCAUCACCCACAAAAUUGCCUCUAGCUCCAUUGCGGCCACCUCUUCAGCAGCCACCCAUUUCUGUUUUGUCCUGUCACUUUGCCUUUUGCAAAAGGCCUCCAAAAGGAACCAUGCUGUGUAGUCUGCUCCUGGCUCCUUUUGGUCAGCACGCUGCAUUUGAGGGUGCUGUGUGGGUUGAUUGUUCCCUCUGUUGCUCAGCAGUAUUCCAGUGUGGGAAUGCACCACAGUUUGUGAAUCCAUUCAUUGCUUGAAAGACAUUUGGUUAUUUUUUCAGUCUCUGGGAAUACGAGUACAGCUGCUAUAAACAUCUAUGUACAGGUUUUUCUGUGAACAUACAUUUUGUUUUGACAUGGAGUAAGUUUCACUGGGAGUAAGAAUCCUGAGACAUUUGGCAAGUUUAUGUUUAACUUGAUGAGAAGCUGCAGAACUGUGUUCCAGGGUGGCUGCACGGCUUUACAUUCAGACCAGCAAUGAAUGAGAGCCUCUGUUGUUCCCAGUCCUCACCAGCACUUACAGUUGUCAUUUAAAAAAAAAAUUCUAUGGGCCAGGCGUGGUGGCUCACGCCUGUAAUCCCCAGCACUUUAGGAGGCCGAGGUGGGCGGAUCAGGAGGUCAGGAGUUCAAGACCAGCCUGACCAACAUAGUGAAACCCCGUCUCUACUAAAAAUACAAAAAACUAGCUGAGCGUAGUGGCGGGCACCUGUAAUCUCAGCUACUUGGGAGGCUGAGGCAGGAGAAUCGCUUGAACCCAGGAGGUGGAGGUUGCAGUGAGCCAAGAUCACACCACUGCACUCCAGCCUGGGUGACAGUACAAGACUGUCUAAAAAAAAAAAAAAAUUGGCCAUUAUAAAAGGUGGGAAAUGGUAUCUUAUUGUGGUUUUAAUUUGUGUCUACCAGCCGACUAAUGAUAUUCAGCAUCUUUUUCAUGAAUUUGUUUUUUUGUUUUGUUUUCUUGGUUGUUUUUUGUUUUUUUUUGGAGACAGGGUCUCACUGUGUGCUCAGGCUGGAGUGCAGAGGCGCAAUCACGGCUCACUGCAGCCUUGACUUCUUGGGCUUCAGCGAUCUUCCUGCCGUAGCUUCCAAAGUAGUUGUGACCACAGGCAUGUGCCACCACACCUGGCCAAUUUUUUAAUUUUUUUGUAGAGAUGGAAUCUCCAUAUGUUGCCCAGGCUGGCCUUUAACUCCUGGGCUCAAGGGAUCUUCCCACCUUGGCCUCCCAAAGUACUACGAUUACAGGUGUGAGCCACUGCACACUGCCUGUGAACAUGUUUUUUAGUUAUUGAAUUUUCAGAGUUAUAAAGCUAUUCUGGAUAUAGUUUAUCAGAUAUGUGAUUUGCAAAUAUUUUGUCCCAAUCUGUGGCUUGUCUUUUUUCUUUUCUUAGCAGUGUCUUUCAAGGAGGAGAAGUUUUAAAUUUUGAUAGAAUCCCAUUUACCAUUUUUUUCUUUAAUGAAAUUGUGCUUUUGAUGUGAUAUCUAAGAUACCUUCACCUAACACUUUACUUUUUUUUUUUUCUUUUUUCUUUUUUUUUGAGGCUGGGUCUCAGUGUGUCACCAGGCUGGAGUGCAAUGGUGCAAUCACAGCUCACUGCAGCCUUGAACUCCGCAGUCUCAGGCAGUUCUCCCACCUCAGCCUCCUGAGUAGCUGGGACUAUAGGCGCGUGCCACCAUGCCCAGCUAAUUUUUUAAAAAAUUUUCUUUGUAGAGGCAAGGUCUCUCUGUGAUGCUCAGUUUCUCAAACUCCUGAGCUCAAGGGAUGCUCUCGCCUCAGCCUGGGAUUACAGGCAUAAGCUGCCAUCCCCAGCUCCUUGAAAUGAGUUUUAAGAGGCCAAGUUAUGAUUUAUUGUUGGAAAGGAAUGGGAUAUGUGUUUAUUCAUGAAAUACUGCCUGGGGCCUACUGUGUAUACAGCCUUCUCCCAGGCACCAUCUCAUGCACACACGCCUGGUCUGGGAGGAACUUUGUUGCCAUAGUAGGAGGGAAAGGGCACGAAGGUGGUCGGGGGUGGCCAGGGCACCUCCCACUGCUGGAUCUGGCUGCAUUCGGGCCUCACUGCCAGUGCUCGGGCUAGCUGUGCACUUGAGACGUGCUAGACAGCUGGAGUGGAAGUGUAGUUCUUGAUUAGGACAUCUUUAAUAUUCGAUCAAGGUAUGUAUUCGGGGAGCUACUGUGCUGAUCCUGCACUGUGCAUGGCUCAUGGGUCUGCCUGAGGCGGGGAUGUGUUCAUGGAACUGGAUUUAGAUAAAUGAGUUAAUCAGGAUGAUUUCAAGAAUCUUCACCUUAAGAAUUGUCAGUGGGAAUGCAGGGGAAAGUACAAGUGAACUAAUUAAGGUUUUAAAAUGUGUUGUAGUGGGUUUGGAGUCCCCGCCGCUGUCUGUGUCUGAGGAAAGACAGCUUGCUGUCCUGACAGAGUUGCCUUUUGUGGUUCCAUUUGAGGAACGAGUAAAGAUCUUUCAGAGGUUGAUUUAUGCAGAUAAGCAAGAAGUUCAAGGAGAUGGUCCAUUUCUGGAUGGAAUUAAUGUCACAAUAAGAAGAAAUUACAUUUAUGAAGAUGCUUAUGACAAACUUUCUCCAGAAAAUGAGCCUGAUUUGAAAAAGCGGAUCCGUGUGCACUUGCUCAAUGCCCAUGGCCUGGAUGAAGCUGGCAUUGAUGGUGGUGGUAUUUUCAGAGAGUUUUUAAAUGAACUACUGAAGUCAGGAUUUAACCCCAACCAGGGGUUCUUUAAGACUACUAAUGAAGGGCUUCUGUACCCCAACCCGGCUGCUCAGAUGCUUGUGGGAGAUUCUUUUGCCAGACAUUACUACUUCCUAGGCAGAAUGCUUGGAAAGGCUCUCUAUGAGAACAUGCUGGUGGAGCUGCCCUUUGCGGGCUUCUUUCUUUCCAAGUUGCUUGGAACCAGUGCCGAUGUGGACAUUCACCACCUCGCCUCCCUAGACCCUGAGGUGUAUAAGAAUUUGCUCUUUCUGAAGAGCUACGAAGACGAUGUGGAGGAGCUUGGGCUGAACUUCACUGUGGUGAACAAUGACCUGGGAGAGGCGCAGGUAGUUGAACUAAAAUUCGGUGGGAAAGACAUCCCUGUCACCAGCGCCAACCGGAUUGCGUACAUCCACUUGGUGGCAGACUACAGGCUGAACAGGCAGAUCCGCCAGCACUGCCUGGCUUUCCGCCAGGGCCUUGCCAAUGUCGUCAGCCUCGAGUGGCUCCGAAUGUUUGAUCAGCAAGAAAUUCAGGUAUUAAUUUCUGGUGCACAAGUUCCCAUAAGCCUAGAGGACCUAAAAUCCUUUACAAACUAUUCAGGAGGCUAUUCUGCAGACCAUCCUGUUAUUAAGGUCUUCUGGAGAGUUGUGGAAGGGUUCACUGAUGAAGAAAAGCGCAAACUGCUGAAGUUUGUAACAAGCUGCUCUCGACCCCCUCUCUUGGGGUUUAAGGAGUUGUAUCCCGCAUUUUGUAUUCACAACGGAGGCUCCGACCUUGAGCGGCUCCCCACAGCCAGCACCUGCAUGAACCUGCUGAAGCUCCCCGAGUUCUAUGACGAGACACUUUUGCGAAGUAAACUUCUCUAUGCGAUUGAAUGUGCCGCUGGCUUUGAGCUGAGCUGAAGCUGAUGCUGGGGUCCGACCCCUACAGAGAACCAGUGCUUCCUUCGUCAGCAGCGCCUCCCCAGACCCACGAGGAUACUCACACUGCACGCCUGAGGCUCUCCUAAGCUCCUUCUUUCAUUCUGCCAUUCCUCCCUCCCUUCCUUUUUUAAAUGAUUUUUAUUACGGUGUGGUCACUUAUUUAGAUGGACAUUGCUUUUCAAAUAACUUAAAAUAACACGUUAUGUGCCAUGUGGCUACUUUAGUAAUAUUGCCAAGAAGAGCACAGUUUUUACACUAGUGGCAUCUCAGUGAAAUUAACCAAAGAUGAAGCUUUGGCUUUGCUGGUGAGAUCAGAGCCCUCCUGAGCAGGCAGCGCUGCUCCAGGGUUCAGACAGGGCUGCGCAGGCGGCAGAGAUACAGGGUCUGAGGCUGAGACGCCAUGGGGCCGCUGCUGCUUAUGUGGUUGGAUUGUUUACAAGCCUCAUUAUUAAAACUGAAGGCAUUUUUUUUUUCUGCUGCCUUUCCCAAAGUGGUUAGGUUUGGAAAAGAGAUGAUGAUGGUAAUAUUUUAUUUGUGCUUUUUAAGCCAUUUCCCCAAAUGGGACUAGCAUGCUUGUUUUCAGUAUACCGUGGCCUGCCUCAUGAUGGUUUGGAGAUACCGUCUGUGGAUGUGAGGUGGAGACUUCAUUCAUUGUCCUAUUUCUAUCUCCACUUUGUGCCUGGAGAGCUUUCAGGGGAGGUGGAGGAGGAGGGUCUGCCAAGCUACUGCAACAUCUGUCACCCACUAUACCCAGUUACUUGGGGGAGGACAGACACUGUGGUGUCAUUAAAGUUGUUUGAACCAAAGUGGCGGCUGCAUCUUUGUCCCGAUGCUAGCCGUGCCGGUCUCCCAUCAUCCGCUCGCCCUCCUUUCCCCUGGGCUGCGCCCACUUGUCUUCCUGGAUAUUUGGGGGUGACUCGCCAUGCUUGGCACCCUCUGCUUCCUGGUGCUGCUCUGACUCGAAGACGGGACAGUCCCUGGUGCACAUCCAGGGAAGAGGAGUGUCGGUAGUUCUUGCAGUAGGCACUUUAUCAGGGCCUGACCUGUUGCUGGGUGAUUUUAGUCUCUACAAACAGCGUUUCAAAGCGUCAGCUGUGGGAGCAGAGUGACCCUUUGCUGAUGCUGGGGGGAGGGGAUCUAAAUCCUCAUUUAUCUCUUCUAUGUCUAGUAUUUUACUGUCACUGGAGGCUCUGUGGGCUGUCAUAGUUAAUUGACCAUAAUUAGCAAUAUACUUUUAAAGUGGGAAAGCUGAAUGACACUUUUAAGACAAUGAACAUUAUCAAAACAAAAUGUAUAAUUUCUUAAUUUGAAUAAUAAAUUAAGCGUUUAAAUGCU